rnacentral:rRNA from 1 species
CAGCAGCCACGGUAAAACAGAGGGUGCAAGCGUUAAUCGGAAUUACUGGGCGUAAAGCGCGCGUAGGUGGUUUGUUAAGUUGGAUGUGAAAGCCCCGGGCUCAACCUGGGAACUGCAUCCAAAACUGGCAAGCUAGAGUACGGUAGAGGGUGGUGGAAUUUCCUGUGUAGCGGUGAAAUGCGUAGAUAUAGGAAGGAACACCAGUGGCGAAGGCGACCACCUGGACUGAUACUGACACUGAGGUGCGAAAGCGUGGGGAGCAAACAGGAUUAGAUACCCCGGUAGUCCCUGUCUCUUAUAC